rnacentral:misc_RNA from 1 species
UCAGCAAGCGGCUCCUCUCCCGCAGGGCACCCACACACCCACACACACACACGUAGACAAGAGGGUAAAAGCGCAGCAAUGAAAACGCUCGCGAAGCGACAGCGGUCGAAGUCUGUGCACGAAGCGAGAUCGCAUCGCGCUUCAAGGAAGGAAAGCGCCACCUCCUCGCACUCGGCACCCUCGCCAGCAUCAUCUCACACCUUGGCGGCUGCCUCCGACACAGCCGCCACGUGUUCAGCUACCGCCUCUGUGACAGAUGAUCGAGAACCCUGCAAGAGUGCCCUUCUCGUUUUGAGUACCUGCCACGCUGUCAUGGCUGGUCUCGUGUACCGUAAGGAGAAAUUCUACAUAAAGUUCUCCGUGAAGCGGCACGUUGGUCGCGUAAACAGUGUUGCAGUAACGGAGCGCUACAUCGCCAGCAGCGGCGUCGACGAGCGGGUUUUUCUCUUCACAAACAAGGCCGAGGAGCGCCUGACAGCAGCGGCGCGCAAAAAGAUCCGGGAGGCUGGCGAUCCCCUCGCAGUGCGGCUGGCUGAUCUAGGCAGCAUCGUGCCCCCAUCUGAAGUCACCGCACUCGUUUUCGCGGACGGCUCUCAGCACCUCCUGUGUGGCUGUUCCGAUGGUCAGCUGCUGAUCUACCGCUGUCGCGACUGGUCCGUCAGCACGACGCUCACGGUGCACGAGAAAGCUGUUGUUGGUCUUGCUGUGCACCCCGGCAGCCACGGCAGUCUUGCCGUCACCGUAGGAGAAGAUCGUGUGAUUGCCGUGCUCGACCUUCUGAAGGCGAAGCUGCUGACGAAGUGGAAGUACAACCCCUCUCUUGCAGCUGCUGGCAGUCUCUCUCGGAGGUCUGAGGACGACGCACAAGAGCAGGCGCAGAGGCCGUCUGUCUUUGCUUCAGCACGCGAGGUGCCCGUCGGUGUUCUCUUCUCUCCUCAGGGCACCCGGCUAGUCAUCUUUAGCCGCUUCUCCUUUGUUGUCUAUGAGGCUUCUGUCAUGAAGCCCAUUUGCAGCCUUCGCUGUGCCAACCCGCAGCCACCGGACGAGAUGCACCGCUUGGCCUUCUUCUCCGAAACGGAGCUCAUCGUGGGCACCGAGGUGGGCGCGCUUAAAGUGUGCCGCAUUGAAGGAACUCCCGAUAAGCCGUUGAACAUGACAGCGCGGUUGGUCCCGAUCUCCGUGACAUAUCCGGAGAGCGUGCGCGCAGCGGCGGCAGCGCUGUUGGCGACGCCGGUGAAAGUGGACAUGGAAACGCGCCUAAAAAACCCGUUGCGGCACAUCAACCGUGUCAAGGCACUGCAGGUGCAGGGCAGUACCAUCUUCUCCAUCGACUCCAGCGGCAUUGUGAUUGCGUGGAACGCGAGGACGACGGCAGAAGACCGUCUGAGUCUGCAGUACGUGACGAGUGCAAACUUUCAAGGACGCGUAACGGGCAUGGAGCUCUACCCCCUUCCUGUGUAGAGAGCAAAACAAAAGAGAUGAAAAAGCUCAACCGGUGGUGGACACCGCUGGUGUGGUUACACGAAGCGAACGCUAAGCGGCGAAGGAUUCGCUGUUCCUUCCUUGCUCGCGACGCCGCCGCGUUUUUUUGAUGUGCCGCUGAUUCUCUUGCCUCUUCGACUAAGUGCCCUUAAGGCACACAUACACGUGCG